CGAAUUCUGGAUUGUUGCUAAUAGGAAACAGGUUUUCCUGUUGCUUUCACUGUGGAUUCAGCUUUCUCCAGUGCAGUUUGGGCUGUUGCUCUUUUUUCUUCUUUCAAUGACCACAGAGGUCUUUCCAUGUGCAGCCUGUUGCAAAUCAGUAUUUGGUAUUUGUUUGAAUUCAGAAUCUCAUUGCGUAGCGUGCUUACAAAGGGAAAUAAAUGUGACAGGAGGAAGAAACAAUCUUUCUACGUUGAAAAUGACCAUAAAUUCUACUCACACACUCAGGAGAAUCCCGUGAAGUUGGUCAGUUUUGGCAGCUCACAUACUGAAUUUUAGAUGAUGCAGAGAAAUGUAGUGUGGUCCCCGAGCAAGACUGAUGUGUGGAUUUGAGGACUGGCUCUGUCUCUGUAGCUAUGAAAAGCGUAGCUGAAUGCUGCAUUGAAGAACUUGGUUCUGUCACUACUUUUGCUGCAAGUCUCCUAGACUCGAAUUUUUAGAAAUAUUUGUAAAAGUUUAUUUUCUUGGUGUUGAGCGUGGAGCCUGACUUGCAUAAAUAUUGUAUAGUAUUAUUGCAGUUGAGGUCAGUAGGAGCUCUGUUUAAAACAUGUAAAGCUCUAUAGAAAUGUAUGUGUUGGGUAUUCUGAAAUACCUCUGCCUUUGAUCUAGAAAUAAAAAGUUGCAAAUAUUUUA